rnacentral:rRNA from 1 species
CCUACGGGAGGCAGCAGUAGGGAAUUUUCGGCAAUGGGGGGAACCCUGACCGAGCAACGCCGCGUGAACGAAGAAGUUAUUCGUAAUGUAAAGUUCUUUUAACAGGGAAGAAAGAGAAAUUUGACGUUACCUGAAGAAUAAGCUCCGGCUAACUACGUGCCAGCAGCCGCGGUAAUACGUAGGGAGCGAGCGUUAUCCGGAUUUAUUGGGUUAAAGGGUUGCGCAGGCGGAUUUUUAAGUCAGCGGUAAAAUCGUGGGGCUCAACCCCAUCCAGCCGUUGAAACUGGGGAUCUAGAGUGUGCGAGAGGUAUGCGGAAUGCGUGGUGUAGCGGUGAAAUGCUUAGAUAUCACGAAGAACCCCGAUUGCGAAGGCAGCCUGCCGAAGCGUUACUGACGCUGAAGCUCGAAAGCGCGGGUAUCGAACAGGAUUAGAUACCCUAGUAGUC